rnacentral:rRNA from 1 species
AUUGAACGCUGGCGGCAGGCUUAACACAUGCAAGUCGAGCGGAUGAAAGUAGCUUGUUACUGGAUUCAGCGGCGGACGGGUGAGUAAUGCUUAGGAAUCUGCCUAUUAGUGGGGGACAACGUUCCGAAAGGAGCGCUAAUACCGCAUACGUCCUACGGGAGAAAGCAGGGGACCUUCGGGCCUUGCGCUAAUAGAUGAGCCUAAGUCGGAUUAGCUAGUUGGUAGGGUAAAGGCCUACCAAGGCGACGAUCUGUAGCGGGUCUGAGAGGAUGAUCCGCCACACUGGGACUGAGACACGGCCCAGACUCCUACGGGAGGCAGCAGUGGGGAAUAUUGGACAAUGGGGGGAACCCUGAUCCAGCCAUGCCGCGUGUGUGAAGAAGGCCUUUUGGUUGUAAAGCACUUUAAGCGAGGAGGAGGCUACCUAGAUUAAUACUUUAGGAUAGUGGACGUUACUCGCAGAAUAAGCACCGGCUAACUCUGUGCCAGCAGCCGCGGUAAUACAGAGGGUGCGAGCGUUAAUCGGAUUUACUGGGCGUAAAGCGUGCGUAGGCGGCCAAUUAAGUCAAAUGUGAAAUCCCCGAGCUUAACUUGGGAAUUGCAUUCGAUACUGGUUGGCUAGAGUAUGGGAGAGGAUGGUAGAAUUCCAGGUGUAGCGGUGAAAUGCGUAGAGAUCUGGAGGAAUACCGAUGGCGAAAGCAGCCAUCUGGCCUAAUACUGACGCUGAGGUACGAAAGCAUGGGGAGCAAACAGGAUUAGAUACCCUGGUAGUCCAUGCCGUAAACGAUGUCUACUAGCCGUUG